GACGGGACCCGCACAAGCGGUGGAUGAUGUGGAUUAAUUCGAUGCAACGCGAAAACCUUACCUACCUUGACAUGUCCGGAAUCCCGAAGAGAUUUGGGAGUGCUCGCAAGAGAACCGGAACACAGGUGCUGCAUGGCUGUCGUCAGCUCGUGUCGUGAGAUGUUGGGUUAAGUCCCGCAACGAGCGCAACCCUUGUCAUUAGUUGCCAUCAUUUGGUUGGGCACUCUAAUGAGACUGCCGGUGACAAACCGGAGGAAGGUGGGGAUGACGUCAAGUCCUCAUGGCCCUUAUGGGUAGGGCUUCACACGUCAUACAAUGGUCGGUACAGAGGGUUGCCAACCCGCGAGGGGGAGCUAAUCCCACAAAGCCGAUCAUAGUCCGGAUCGCAGUCUGCAACUCGACUGCGUGAAGUCGGAAUCGCUAGUAAUCGUGGAUCAGCAUGUCACGGUGAAUACGUUCCCGGGUCUU
rnacentral:rRNA from 1 species